AUUGAACGCUGGCGGAAUGCUUUACACAUGCAAGUCGAGCGGCAGCACGGGGGCAACCCUGGUUGCGAGCGGCGAACGGGUGAGUAAUACAUCGGAACAUGCCCAGUCGUGGGGGAUAACACUUCGAAAGAAGUGCUAAUACCGCAUACGUCCUGAGGGAGAAAGCGGGGGAUCGCAAGACCUCGCGCGAUUGGAGUGGCCGAUGUCAGAUUAGCUAGUUGGUGGGGUAAAGGCCUACCAAGGCAACGAUCUGUAGCUGGUCUGAGAGGAUGAUCAGCCACACUGGGACUGAGACACGGCCCAGACUCCUACGGGAGGCAGCAGUGGGGAAUUUUGGACAAUGGGGGCAACCCUGAUCCAGCCAUUCCGCGUGAGUGAAGAAGGCCUUCGGGUUGUAAAGCUCUUUCGGCAGGAACGAAACGGUGAGCUCUAACAUAGCUUGCUAAUGACGGUACCUGAAGAAGAAGCACCGGCUAACUACGUG
rnacentral:rRNA from 1 species